UACACUCCUACGGGAGGCAGCAGUGGGGAAUAUUGGACAAUGGGCGCAAGCCUGAUCCAGCCAUGCCGCGUGAGUGAUGAAGGCCCUAGGGUUGUAAAGCUCUUUCACCGGAGAAGAUAAUGACGGUAUCCGGAGAAGAAGCCCCGGCUAACUUCGUGCCAGCAGCCGCGGUAAUACGAAGGGGGCUAGCGUUGUUCGGAAUUACUGGGCGUAAAGCGCACGUAGGCGGAUCGAUCAGUCAGGGGUGAAAUCCCAGGGCUCAACCCUGGAACUGCCUUUGAUACUGUCGAUCUGGAGUAUGGAAGAGGUGAGUGGAAUUCCGAGUGUAGAGGUGAAAUUCGUAGAUAUUCGGAGGAACACCAGUGGCGAAGGCGGCUCACUGGUCCAUUACUGACGCUGAGGUGCGAAAGCGUGGGGAGCAAACAGGAUUAGAAACCCCAGUAGUCCCA
rnacentral:rRNA from 1 species